rnacentral:tRNA from 1 species
GCAGUCGUGGCCUACUGGUUAGCGCUUCGGACUUGUAACCGGAGGGUUGCCGGUUCAAACCCAGACCAGUAGGA